GCUUGCCGAGUGCAUUCCUGACAUGGGCUAGACACAAAGAGAAUGAAAAGGCAGGCUGGGAAUUCAAGCAGAAAGCAUCCCGAAGUUGUCUGGGUUCUGUAAGAGUAAAGAAUGGGCAAAAUUAGCCUCCAAACCCUGCCAGCUCCCCUCCACCGCGAAACCAGUUGUUAAGGAGGAACCAGUGGUGGGACACAUCCUCCACAAAGAGGAAGACGUGGAUGUGCCUUUGCACCGAUUCUAAGACAGGCGACCUGAGCCCAUAGAGGGAGACGAGGCCCUGGGUGGCGUCAGGGAGGACGCCUGAUAGGAUGGACACGGGAGAGGUCUGGGGGGGGGGCAGGUGCGUGCCCCGGCACCUCAGGGGAGGCGUUCACAGCCAAGGGCACCCUACAAGCAAAGGGGAAGCACGGCUGAGGGCAGUCUAGACUGGACCUCGGCAGGCCAUGAGCUUGAGAACAGGAGGGACUGGACCAGGCAGAGUCCUCCAGGGAUCAUCUGGAUUUCCUCCACUGAGCCUGCCAGGACCACAUGGAUGUACCUGCAUCCACCCGGAGUCCACACUGGUUCUCUGUCUAGGCCAUACCUUGGACACUUGGGGACUCAC
rnacentral:lncRNA from 1 species